CCCCGCCGCGGGGAGGGAGGUGCCAGCGGCGCCCCGGGGCCGUGGCCGGCGCGGUCUAAGAGGGCUGCAGCGGAGCCGGGGCCCGAGGCGCAGCGGAGCAGCGGCGGGAGGAGCUCGGCGCGGCGCGGCGCGGCGGCGCCACGGACUUAUCUCCUUGGCCGAGGAGAGCGAGCCGCCGCCUGCGAGCCCUGGUCCUUGGCUAUUGGGGACAGGGUGAAAGACAAACUAAACGCCAAACGUCCCCCAGCGUCUGCGCCUUCCUGGUUUUGUGUUUUUUUUUUCUUCAACUAUUUCGAAAAAAGAUCUACUGUGUUUUUGGCAAUUUGUGCCGCGUGUGGAGUUCUUUUCCGCACACCCCUGACAAACAAAGGAAAAGGGGGAGGGGGACUGCGUUUCGCAGAAGACAUGCGUUCAGUCAGGAAGAGGUGGACUGCGUGCACGAUAAGUCUCCUCCUCAUCUUCUAUAAAACGAAAGAAAUAGCGCGGACUGAGGAGCGCCAGGAGGCACCGCUCGUCGGAGAUGGUGAACUGAGUUUGAGCAGAUCAAUGAUCAAUAGCUCUGAUAAGAUAAUUCGAAAGGGUGACUCCUCAAUCUUCCAGCAUGCUGUACGAGGUUGGAAAAUCAAUUCUUCUUUGGUACUGGAAAUAAGAAAGAACAUUCUUCGAUUUUUGGAUGCUGAAAGAGAUGUCUCAGUGGUGAAAAGUAGCUUCAAGCCGGGAGAUGUAAUCCAUUAUGUACUGGACAGGCAUCGCACCCUAAACAUUUCACAGGAUUUGCACAGCCUUCUCCCUGAAGUUUCCCCAAUGAAAAAUCGUCGAUUUAAAAACUGUGCAGUUGUUGGGAAUUCUGGCAUCCUUCUGGACAGUGGAUGUGGAAAAGACAUUGAUAGCCAUGACUUUGUUAUAAGGUGCAAUCUAGCUCCUGUGGUGGAGUUUGCUGCCGAUGUGGGAACUAAAUCUGAUUUUAUAACCAUGAACCCAUCAGUUGUACAAAGAGCAUUUGGAGGCUUUCGGAAUGAGAAUGACAGAGAAAAAUUUGUGCAUAGGCUGUCCAUGCUGAAUGACAGUGUCCUCUGGAUCCCUGCUUUCAUGGUCAAAGGUGGAGAGAAGCAUGUGGAAUGGGUUAAUGCUUUAAUCCUUAAGAAUAAAUUGAAGGUGCGAACCGCCUAUCCAUCACUGAGACUUAUUCAUGCUGUCAGAGGCUAUUGGCUGACAAACAAGGUCCACAUUAAACGACCCAGCACUGGUCUGCUCAUGUAUACGCUUGCCACCAGGUUUUGUGAUGAAAUUCACCUAUAUGGAUUUUGGCCAUUCCCAAAGGAUUUACAUGGAAAACCAGUUGGUGGCUUGGUUUGGUUUGGUUUGGUUUUCUGGUGCUGUGCUCAUGCUUCCUCUGCUCCUUUCAGUCCUAAUGUCAGUGUGAUCAUCCUCAUGGUUCAUGUGACCCUGUCCUUUCUGGGACAGCGUACCAUAAGAAAAGAAGAGCAAAGCUGCUUCUGCUCAGGUAGGCCAUCUAAGACACUGGCAGCUACUGGAUCUGUAUAGAAAAGGUAGAAAUAGGCAAGUACAGACAGUUCCUCAUUUCUACUAUGGUCUUCUGUUCUCAUGAUUAUCCCAUAUCAAUGGAUUUUUGCUCUCUGUAUUUGUUAAGUGCAUAUUUUUUUCAGGCACAAUAUCCUGUGGCAAAAUGUCUGGCAAUCAGUUUUCACUUUAUGCUAGGUAGAAAAUGCCUUCCUUUCAGGUCUGAUGUCUUACUUUAGGAGGUUAUGGUAAGUGGUAAACAACACUUGUAAGUUUGCAUCACAUUUAUGACUUUAUAGACAUUGAUUGAAAGGGAUGUUUCUGUAAGGAACUCUCAAGAAUGGUUACUUUAUUCUGAGUAUAAUGCUAAGUAAUAUUGCAUUCUGUCCAUUUUUUUAAAUUUUCCAAAAAGUAGAUUCCAAACAAAACUUGUUUUGAAACAAUCAAAGGAGCUCUGAAAACUGAGAGCUCUACUAGUCUCCCAGGACUUCCCAUCUUCUGGCUGUAUGGCAGAGAGAUGGGAAUACUAAAGUUUCUACUUCGGAGAAAUGCGGAUCUUUGAUUUUGCCACACUACACCACCUAUCUGAUGAAGUGAUCACAGUUUGAGCUCCUUCACAAAUCCCAGAGAAAUUAUUACAUUCCAAAAUGAAUUAAUCUAAGUUCCUACAGGAGCAGCUAUACAAACCUGAGUACCCAAAAUACACCUGGAUAUUUUUGCAUGCAAAGUGGAUGCAAAGCUGUUCAAAACCACUUUCUCUUGCUUGUGGGUAAACCAACAACAUGGUAGAGACACACAAGAAGAAAAAAUCUUGAGCUGCAUUGUCCUCUAAUACCAUGCAGCUAAGUUAAAGACCAUCUGAUCUUGCAAAGAAAUGGCUGUGUGAAAGCCAACGAGCAAACUGGACUGAAACCAUACAGCAAAAAAGCAUCAGAGGAAGGCAGGUUGAACCACCUUGGAAAAUGUCACCUUUGAUUCUUUUUAAGGGUGUUCCCCCAAGAACUGGAUAAAGCUGUAAAAUCUAACAUUGUAGACUCAUAAAGACAUGAUGAUAUUUAUGUCUAAAAAACAUAACCAAAAAUGGAGCCAAGGCUGAGUUCCCAUUGAGUUUUAGAACCACCAUAAGCAGAGUCCAGCAACCACAAAAAUAACCUAAAAAAGGAAAAAAAAAAACAAUGCUUAUACAUGACCCUUAUCUCUCACCCUCUCAAAUAAACAGCUUCAGCACUUCCAGUUUCUUAUUCAUAUGAAAGCCUCUGUGAGCAUCUAAAAGAUAUGUAUCUGAUAGAGGUUUGAGGUUUUUUAUCAUGUGGAAACUAUAACUUGCCUAAAAGAAAAAACAAUACAUAUUAAAAGAUCUGCAGGCAGUAAGUUAGACUAGAACUGCAUCUAGAAAUUUUCCAGUGUCUGGCAGUUAACAAAGGAUUUUUUGAAACAGGUACACACUUCAGUGCAUUGUUAGUUGCAACUAGUAUUUCACCUUUAGUCUUGUUCCAAUAUUAUUAUGGUCUUCUAAAGGAAUGAGAGAUUAGUAAGGUGUUCAUCUUUCAUAAAUCCUGAUUGUAUCAAAUAUGUAGUAUUUCUUGCUGACCUGAUGAGAAAUCCAAUCCUUGGUCUUUUCCUCUCAUGCCUUCAGCUUGUGAGAAGUGCUUUGUUGAAACCUCAAUGAGCUUCUUGGAUUCAAUUUUAACAGGCAAUUCAAUAACUAAUUCCUUUCUUGAAAAGCUGAUGUAGUCCAGUCCCUACAAGAUUUUUUCUGUCUGUAAGGAAUGAAGCUAAAUCAAGCAGAAUACAACUUCUUCUUUAGAUAUCUCUUUUUUCAUGGUUCAGCAGGAAAACAAGGUUUCUGUCUGGUAGUUUCAUAUGUGGGAUAUUUAUCCAGGGUAAAUGGAGAUUUUUUUGUUGGAAUCAAAACUUUUUAGGAAACCAUUGUAGUCAAAUGCUUCAAGAAGUCAGCAGUUUAGGAUUUUAAUAUGUGCUUAAUCUAAGCUUGUUUUUAUUUUCAUAAAAGUAGCGUUCAGUGCUUUGCAAUGUAAUGUUCAGGGACAGAUACCUAGAAUAAUCCUUUUGAUUAACUUGGCAGAAUUUCCUUCCUAUUACCAUUAAUAUUUUGCUGUUAGUAGCUUUAUUUCUCUGAAUAAGUGCAUCUUUUAAUAGCCCAGACACUUAAAGAAAGAUUACUUUGGAGCAGAAUAAAGAUGUUUACUCUCAUACAGCUAGAGGUCUCAGUUUUGCAAACUGUAUAAGGCACAUACAAGACAACCAAGUGAUCAGGCCCAGUCAGCUUAUCAGGUCCUGUUUGACCUGAUCUCCUUCUACAAGAAGGUGACUCGCUUAGUAGAUGAGGGAAAGGCUGUGGAUUUUGUGUACUUAGACAUCAGUAAGGUCUUUGAUACUCUAUCCCACAACAUCUCCUGGAGAAGCUGGCAGCUCAUGGCCUGGAUGGCCAUGAACAGUGAACGGAGUCAAAUCCUGUUGGUGGCCAGUCAUGAGUGGUGUUCCCCAGGGUUCAGUAUUGGGGCCAGUUCUGUUUAACAUCUUUAUCAAUGAUCUGGAUGAGGGGAUUGAGUGCACCCUCAGUAAGUUUGCAGAUGACACCAAAUCAGGUGGGAGUGUUGGUUUGCUGGAUGGUAGGAAGUUCGUACAGAGGGAUCUGGACCAGCUGGAUCGUUGGGCUGAGGCCAAUUGUAUAAGGUCUAACAAGACCAAGUGCCGGGUCCUGCAUUUGGGUCACAACAACCCCAUGCAGCGCUACAGGCUCAGGGAAGAGUGGUUGGAAAGCUGCCUGGUAAAGGGGGAUCUGGAGGUGGUGGUUGACAGCUGGCUGAACACGAGCCAGCAGUGUGCCCAGGUGGAGAAAAAGGCCAAGAGCAUCCUGGCUUGUAUCAGGAAUAGUGUGGCCAGCAGGACUAGGGAACUGAUUAUCCCCCUGUACUCAGCACUGGGGAGACCCCACCUUGAAUACUGUGUUCAGUUUUGGGCACCUCAUUAUAGGAAAGACAUUGAGGUACUAGAAGGAGUUCAGAGAAGGGUGACAAAGCUGGUGAGGGGCCUGGAGCACAAGUCAUGUGAGGAACAGUUAAGGGAACUGGGCCUGUUUAGCCUGGAAGUAGCAAGUGAUAGGACAAGAGAAAAUGGCCUGAAUUUGCACCAGGGGAGGUUUAGAUUGCAUAUUAUGAAAAAACUAUUCACGUAAAGGGUUGUGAAGCGGUGGAACUGGCUACCCAGAGAAGUGGUGGAGUCACCAUACCUGGAGGCAUUUAAAAGGUGAUGAGGUUCUUAGGGACAUGGUUUAGCGCUAGAGUUAGGUUAUGGUUGGAUUUGAUGAUCCUGAGGGUCUCUUCAAACCAAAAUGAUUCUAUAAUUCUAUGAUUAUGUAUCAAAUGGUUAGGAGAGGAUGGAAAUUGACUCCAAGAGUUUAGAAACUUCCAUUUCUCUGUGUAAUCUUGCUCUUAGCAGGAGAAAAUUGAAUAAUUCAGAUUCUCCUCUAACUCUCUUUGGAAACUUCCUUUUUCUGUCAUCCUAUUACUAAAUUAUGUUUAUUAUAUCAAUAACAAUUUAUAGAAAUGACACUGCGUAUUAGCAAACAAUAUAUGCCCUUUGCUAAUUAAUACAUCCAUUAAAAUAGGGGGGGUCAUUCUAUAAUCAGAAAUCUAAGUAAGAAAAUAUUGUGUUAAUUGUUCAUAAAGUAAAAUGUCAAUGCUCUCAAAAAUAAUUAAAUAUUUAAUGCAAAAAUAACUGUAAAACCCAUUUAAUUAUGCUAUUCUCCUUUUAAAUUCCCUGUGCUGGCUUUCUCUUGGCUUUUUAGUCAAGUUAAUGUUUUGUGUUUCCACCUAGAAGCAGCCCAUUAUCCAAAUAGACAGGAAACCUGUUAUAAUUUGCAUUUAUCAAAGCGAUUUUGCUUUUGAAUUUGGCAUUUACUAAAAAACUUGCCUUUAUGCAAAACAAUUCUUACCAGCUCUGCUUCUGUGACUGCUCAUUUUUUUUGAAGCUUGAACAACUGUCGGUAAUAGAUUUUAACAACUUCCUUUAAUUGUUUCUAGCAAAGACAAAACAAAAUAAACCUCUUUCCCCCAAAUUCCUAGAAAAAAUUGUAAGUACAACAUAGCACACAAUUUUUACAGCAGUUGUGAAGAACAGACUUCAAUCAUAUUUUUACUUGAAGAAAUGUGUGGCUAGUUUCCUUUUCUUCAGUCACUUGUACAGUGGAAGUGCUGUAACUUAAUGUAAUGUAAUUAAUUUGGCUUUUAAAUUCCAAGUCAGGAGCGAUCCAUUUAAUCCAUGCAAACUGACUUUUGGAUUGCGCCUCUGUUAUACAAAGCUGGACAACUGCAAUGUAUCCUUCACUUGACAACUUAGAUUAAGCUAGAAACUUUAGUAGAUUUUUUAUUUUCACAAUAAAGUUAGAAGUGAUGGAAGGUGUGAAAUGAUUCUGUCUUGUUUCAGAACUAGACCAAAGAGCCAAGUUCAGAGGAUGAAUCUAGGAAAUUAAGAUUUAAGCAAUUUAUAAACCAAUCCAUAAGUAAAAAUCUUGCUCUCAAGAGAAAUGGGUUGAAUCAUAUCUUUUAAAGUUACAAUUUAUUCAUACUUCUCUGCAGUAAAACUUAGAUAUUGUCAACAAUAAAAAUCACAUUAUACUAGACAACAUAAAAGUUAUAUAGCGUAGGAAUGUAUCCAGAGCAAGUAAAGUGAAAAUCAUUGGCUGGUAAAUUCCAUGACUACUUAGACUUAUGCAACUAUAAACCUAGCAGUAGUUAUCUGGAAAAUUAUUAAAGGAAAACAUUUUAAUAUUAUCUUGCAGAAAUGAACAAACAAACAAACACACAUCCACCUUCAUGUUACUGUCUGUCUAUUCAUACUCAUUAUAUGACAGUAGAAAUAGCAUAUGUCCUAGGAGUUCAGCCUAGGUUUUUGGUUCUGGUUUUGUUGUUGUUCUGGUUAGGUUUUUAGUAACACAUUAAUAAAAUAAGGCAGACAAACACAAUGAAUGCAUUAAUUUCAGUAUAGUCUAAAUUAGCAGAAGGAGAACCAACAUAUUGAAUAGUUGCAUGCAAAAAAAGUUGGGAAGUAAAGAAGUAAAAGAGAUGUGGUUUUAGACUUAAGCACUGCUGUGGAGGCUUCAUUAUACUUCCACUUCUGACUUAUGUUGCGACUAUCUAGAAAAUGAGCUCUACUGAGCUUUAGGAGCAAAGGGCCAUAGCAUCACAGGACAGAUACUUAAGGUUGGAAGAGGCCUCAGGACAUCUCUAGCCCAGCCCCUCACUACAGCAGGGUCUGCUCUGAGGGCAGCAUUGGACCGGAGGAGUAAGAACAAAUACUUGCUUUCUCCAAGUAGGGCCAAUUCCUCUCAAACUGGUGCUCUGUGAGGAUACUAGCUCAUGGUGGCAAGCUUUUGAUAGCCGAUGUUGGGAGGAAACAUCCAAAGAGUACAAGGUGUUGACUCCUACACUCUACCCAUUGCCUUAUUUAUAUGGUAUUAGGACUUUCAAUGGUACUUAGUCUGUGCUUCAAAAUAAGCAGUACCAGGUACUAUUCAAAUUCUGAAACUCAGCAAGCUAUUCUGUCACGAUGUUAAAAUGUCCACAGUCAGUUUUAGGGGACCAAAAGCUCUCUCCUAGAAAAUUCUUGGAUCCCACUUAGGAGUUAGAAAUUACUCAAAACUGAUUCCAAUAGACAGCUUGCUAUCCUGUUCAGGAAAUAAAAUAUGUUUAAGUGUAAGAUUGCAGGCUCUGUAGUGCUGGAGUGCCAGAAAGCAGCUCAGGUUGUGUUUGUUAUCCAGGUUUGCAAAGGAAAGUUAGUCUCCUGAAUCACCACCGUGAAUCUGAAACACUGAAGUGUGAGCAAAGGCUUGCAUUUUUAUCAGGGCUUGUUUUUCUCCUUUUGUCCUUUAACGGAUCUGCUAGAUCUGACUAAUUUUUCUUCCUUUUUCCUUUCUAACUUUUAUGUUGGAUAAGCUGGUCCCCAUGAAAACGAAGAUGAAAAUCUUUAUCAUUUUCCAGCAAUCUAUUAUAUAUAUGUUUUACUAGAAUUUCUUCUACUAUCAGUUCCUUCAAUACUGCUUUUUUUUUCUCAUAAGCAUAUGCCCAAAGCUGAAGUAGGAGAUAGUUAAAGCAUGUAAGAAACACUCAUCACCAGCUGCAGUAAAGAUAAUGCAUUACUUCAGUUACUAAUAAUAUUGUUAAAAUGUUCUGAAGCAUCAAGCCAAUAACCAGUGGUUAAAUGGUCCCAGACAGACUAAAUGGACUCAAUACAGUUAAAGGCAGUAUAUCUAGACUGCUGGUAGGACAUAAUUUCCACUUCUGGUAUCCACAUUUCCAGAUGAAGUAGAAAUACCAGUAAGAGCUAAAACAAACAAAAAAACAAACAAACAAACAAACAAAAACGCACAAAAAAACCCCUCAAGAAUUGGAAACAUAAUGUAGGCUAUUAAAGCUCAGUCUACUCAGUUUCUGUAAAAAAGGAUUUAGAGGUAACUUGAUAAGUAUGUCAGACACUGAAAAGACCAUCAAUUUCCUGGAGCCUUUCAGUCUUUCAGAGAAAGUCAUAGUAAGAUUAAGAGGAUGUAAAAUGAAAUUAGUCAAAAUGAACCAGGAAAUCAACUGCCAUUUCCUAGAAGUGCCAGCUGGCACUCAAAAAAUGCAUCAGGAGAGUGACAGAACCUCCAUCACUUACUGCAUUAGAAGGAAAUGAGAUAUCUACAUAAGAAGUUAGAACCAUAGGAAAAAUACACAGCUUCAAAGGAAAAAGGAAGAAAAUCAGCCCGGCAGUAAAAUGAACACUGAAUGCUGGAUGUGGUCUGUAGUCAGUGUGAGUGUGCAGACAGGCAGUUUCAGCUACUGAGUGUUUCUUGUUAUCCUAUUGCUACUUUCCAUAAUGAAUAUAUUUUUAGCUACUACAUGUAUUUUUUAUAAAUGGGUGUUUUUGGAGACAGUGCCAUCCUAACACUAGUCAGAUUAAACCCCACCAUUCCUGAAAUUAACAACAGGCACUGAAAUUGGGAUUUGAAGGCAGCCACUCUGAGACUUGAUUCCUUUGAUUGCAGUGAUCUCCAUUUCCUACUGUACCAUCAAAACUGAAUCACUUCAAAGAGAUAAGCCUUGCUCUGUAAAUGUUGUUCCACUUCCUACCUCAGCUUCUCAGGGAAAAAAUCUCUUAAGGGAGAAGAGUCCCCAGAAAGUCUGCUUUAGAGGGUUAGGAAUCAUGAGUGCUGGUCAGUUUCUAAGAACUGGCUUUUAAAAGCACAGGAGCCAGCAUUUUCAUAGUCUGAAAGCUCAGGCACAUGGGGCAGAAGGCCAGCUUCACUAAACAGGGAACUCCUUUUGGAACUCAGGUUAAAAAAUAAAUUGUACAAUCUCUGGAAAGACAGCUCAGGCUUCACAGGAGGAUUACAGAGCCAUGGUUUACAUAUGCAGGGUAAAGACAUGGAUGGCCAAAGCUGAACUACAGUUGAAACUGGCUAGUGUUGUAUCAGACAACAAGAGCUUUUUAAAGUACUUUAAUAGCAAAAGGAGGUCUAAAGAAUACACUGGACCAAUACUUGUUUAAGAUGGCCACCUGAGAAACAUUCAACACUUUUUUUGCCUCAGUCUUUUAGCAAUUCUGAUAGACAUUGGGCUGCCUGGUCCUCUGAGUUGGAGGACCACAACUUCGGGAACCAUGACUUUGGAUUUGUGGGCACUCAAACAGUAAAAGAUCAAUUGUAUCACAGAAUGUUAGGAAUUGGAAGGAACCUCGAAAGGUCAUCUAGUCCCACCCUCCCACUGGAGCAGGAACACCUGUAUGAGGUUACACAGGAAGGCACCCAGGAGGGUUUUGAAUGUCUCCAGAGAAGCAGACUCCACAACCUCCCUGGGCAGCCUAUUCCAGUGUUCUGUUACCCUCACUGUGAAGAAGUUUCCUCUUCUUCCUCCUCCUCUUCUUCCUCCUCCUCUUCUUCUUCUUCUUCUCCUUCUUCUUCUUCUUUUUCCUCCUCCUCCUUUAAGUGGAACCUCCCGUGUUCCAGUUUGCACCCAUUGCCCCUUGUCUUAUCACUGGUUGUCACCAAGAAGAGCCUGGCUCCAUCCUCAUGACACUCACCCUUUACAUAUUUAUAAACAUUAAUGAGGUCACCCCUCAGUCUCCUCCAAGCUAAAGAGAGCCAGCUCUCUUAGUCUUUCCUCAUAAGGGAGAUGCUCCACUCCCUUAAUCAUCGAUUCUGUGAUUCUGUGUCAACUGAAUGUUCAUAAACCCAUGGGGCCUGGUGAGAUUCAUCCCAGAGUACUGAAGGAUCUAAUGGAUGGUGCAGCAGGACACCUCUCAGGCACCUACUAAAGAUCUUGGGAGCCUGGGGAGGCCACCACUGACAGGAAGCUAGCCAACAUUACUCCAGUUUACAAGGAGGGCAUGAGGGAAGACCCAGGAAAGUACAGACAUGUUAGACUAACCUCAGCACCUGGAAAAAAUUAUGGACAAGAUCAUAUCAGGUGCUACUGAAAGGCAUUUAAAGCACAAUUAAAUUGUCAGGCACAAAUGACAUGGGUCUAUGAGGGGAAAGUCUUGUUUAGCUAAUCUUAGUCUUCUAGGAUUAGGUCACCCAUCUAGUGGAGGAAGGGAAAGUGGUGGAUGUUGGUUUUCUGGAUUUUAGUGUGGCUUUUGAUACUGCUCUUCUGGACAAGUUCUACAGCCAUGAGAUGAGCAGGUACACAGUGUAUGGCAUGAUGAACUGGCUGAACAGCAGGGCUCAAAGAGUUGUAGUGAAUGGUGCUACAUCUGGCUGGCAGCCAGCCACCACUGCUUGUUUUCAGGGCUCAGUUCUAGGGCCAAUUGUGUUUGAUAUUUUUAUCUGUCAUCUGAAGGGAGGAGUUGAAUGUACCAUGAGUAAGUUUGCUGAUGAUACUAAAUUUGGAAGUGCGGUUGGCUCUCUCAAGGGAUGAGACCUUACAGGCCCAUCUAGAUAGACUGAAACAUUAGGCAACCAUCAAUGGCAUGAACUUUCACAAGAACAAAUGCCAGACUCUGCACCUGGGACAGAGUAAUGCUGAACAUAAGGAAAAAUUGGGAGAGGAGUGACUGAAGAGCAGCCCUGCAGAAAGGGAGCUGGGGGUCCUGGUUGACAGCAGGAUCAAUAUGAGUCAGCAGUGGGACCCCUGGCAGCCCAGAGAGCAAAUCUCUGCAUCCUGGGGUGCAUCAAACACAGCAUAACCAGCUGGUCAAAAGAGGACAUUAUCCUGCUGUAUUUAGUGGUGGUGUGGCCUCACUUUGAGUGUUGUGUGCAGUUCUGGGCUCCAAAGUUUGUCUGUCUUUAAAAAACAAUGUUAAGGUCCUUGAAUGCAUCCAGAGGAGGGCAGUCUUGCUGGUGGAAGGUCCGGAAAGCAUGUCCUGUGAGGACUGACUGAGAACUCUGAGUUUGUCUGGUUUGGAGAAAAGAGGGCUGAUGGGAAACCUCAUUGCUCUCUGCAGCUUCCCAUGGAGGGGAAGUGGAGAAGGAGGUGCUGAUCUCUUCUUCCUGGUAUCCAGUGACAGAAUGCCUGGGAAUCAUUCAAAGCUGCACCAGUGGAGGCUUAGACUGGACAUUAGGAAGCAUUCCUUUACCAACAGGGACCUUUAUCAACAGGAACACACUUCCUAGAGAGGUGGUCAGUGCCUCAUACCUGUCAGAGUUUAAGAGGCAUUUGGACAAUGAAUUAUUAAAAUGUCUAAAAUCUAUUUCUGUUUCUUAAGAACCUUCAGUACUGAAUAUUAAUUGCGUUGGAAGUAUGGAUCUAAAAAAAAAUCACAUUUAUACAGAUUUUUACCACGCACAAACCCUAAAAAAUGCUGGGACCAAGUAGUCUAACAACUUCACAGGAAUAAAACUUUCUUCAAAUGCCUGCAUACCUAUUGUGUUUACAAAAGUCAGCAUGACAGUCGUGUACAAUGUUUUCCCAAUUUCUGCAUCAGAAGCUUCAUACAUAGUGACAGUGUGUGCAGUUUUAUAGGAACAUGCACUGCUAGUUGGCCAAAGAAAAAAGGAAUUCCAUAUUCAGUUAAACUUAUACAUUCUGGUUUCCAGUGUAAGACUCCUGCACAUUGUAUUCAGUUUAAUAGGCUAAGUUUGUAGUUUUCCCUCCUCUCUAAGGUCUGUCUUCUCUGUUUGACUAUCUUUUUUCCUUAAAAAAAAUGUAUUGGAAGAUAAUAUCUUUGAGAACUCUUGCUAUCAUAUCUAGACGAAAUGGGCCAGCAUUUUUCAUUAUUAGGAGAGGCUAGCAGAAAGGCUUUUGUAUUUUUAUGCAGAUAAUGUGGUCAUGAAGUUUGUUUUCUUAGAAAGCCAGACUAAACGCACAACUUACCUACAAUAAUAUUUCUUUUAAAAGACAGUGCAAUCAAGCUGAGAGACAAAGAAAAAGAAAGAUGGUAUUUUUGCACAGUUUAUAAUGCUUCAUUCUGCUAUAAAUGCUGACAUUAUUCAGCUUUACAUUUAUUGUCAUUGAAAUGUAAGAGGACUGAAAAAUUUGCAAUUUACACCCAAUUAAGAACAUUUAGGAAUAGGAUUCUAUCAAGAACAAAACCAGUCUUCAAAGUCUGUCAAGUUCCACAAAAUGUUUGCAAUGUGUAUGUGUAUUUAUUCAUUGUUAUGUAUUGUAUUAUUUCCAAACCAUAUUUUGGAAUACCCCUUUUCCUGGUAAUGUAGAUACAAAGGCAUAAUAUUCUCUGUCAUGCUGAGAUAUUAGUCCUUCAGAUUUUUGUUAUAACCCUUAUUUUGAAUGUUAACCAAUUAGAAGCUCACACUCAGAACCAAAAUACAAUUUCAAGUGUUCAAGGAAGUUUAAAAUAUAUAAUAUAACAAUAAAAAUAAAUUAAAUAUUCUUCCAAGGAGGCAAGAAUGGCUAUUAUCUGCAAGGUUCAAAUUUAUGGAUGGUCUUGUCAUUUCCUCGUAUGUUUCUUAUUCUGUCCUAUUGAACCUUCCUCAUAUUAGAUGUUCUGAAAUGAACAGAAAGUAGAGUGUGAAUCUGGGAGAUUAUAGGUAUUUUUCAAUUUUUAUUAAUCACCAAACAAGUAGAUAAAGCUUUUACUGAAUUUGAAACACGAGUGACAUGUCUCCUGAAUAAUACUACAGAAAUAGUGUCAGAAGGACACUGGGCAGGAUAUGAGAAAGCUCUUUGUUACCUACUGUAUAUGAAAUGAAGUGCUCAUUUGUUUCCUUUAAGAGAAACAGAAAAGAUUGCAAAUGUAUGUUGCUCAUGUAGUCUUAAUUCCUGAUGCAUAUUCAUACACAAAGCUACUGAAUCAAAGCCUAAAGUGUAUGUCAGUAAUUACUAAGAGAAUGCUUAUACCUGCAUAAUUUAAUUAUCUAGAAGAGUUUGAACUUUUACAUGCCCUCUAAUCUACUUCCUUAUAUGAGUUUUCUUUUCUUAUUAAAUUGCAGUGUUCGUUAAUGUGGAUUUUUGAUAAAUUCUACAGUCCUGUUUACCUCAAACUGCUCACAGAACUGCCCUUUUCCAAGACACACAAUCUAAGAAAGCACUUUUUUCAUUGUUAAAAGCAGCUACAGACUGAAAAGAAUGCUGGGAAACUCAGAAUCUUUAUUAAUACAGUAAUAUUUUUCAUACAUGUUCAAAUUUGAACGUGUGCUCACAUAAAGAAGCAUCAUCACCCUUACCAACGUAACUAACCACAGUGGUGAAGACGAAAGUCUCACAGACCAAUGUUUGCUAUGUGAUACACAGCAGGUUAUUAAACAUACACCCCGAAGUAAGCGAAGUAUGACAUGCAGCUCCAUUAGAUGUAACAAAUAGAAGUCAUUAUAAAAGGAGAUUUACAGAAUCUAUUACUGUUUCCUACUGAAAAUAAACACUAAAUGAAGUCCUAAAGGACAGAUAAGUCAUGGAAUACUAAAAAAGACUACUUACACAGCACUUUGUUCCCUAGGGGUCCAGUUUAAGGCAAGCCAAGCUGAGGACAACAAAGAGCAGAUAUAAAAAGUGUUUAAACCUUGGGGAAGUAUGAAAGGCCAUUGUAUGAAGGGAUAACUCAUAAUCUGAGCAGCUGCUUUACAAAAACAACAAGGAAAAAGAAAUAAAUAGAAAAUAAUAAAAAAUUAAUGACACAUUAUUUUGUUCAUCCUGAAAGCACUAGUAAAAGGGGUACCACUUAGUGAAACAAGCGCAAUUCAGCAAAAAAAAAAAAAUGUGACUUAUUUUUGACAAACUGCUUGCAGAAAUUGCCAAAAAUCUCUCUAUUUGUUCUACACUGUAAGCUUGGUGCAGGUAUUGCCAGUUAGUCCUUGUCAUUGCUUUUGAUAUCACAAGUAUCUGCCCGUGGAAAUGACAGACGUGGUGGUCAAAGAGUAAAUGCAAUGUACUGCACAAAGAUUUUGGAAUCUGCAUGUCACCUACACGGUCAGCAAUGUUCAUUUCUAAGAACAAAAAGAUUUUGAAAGGUGAGGUUGUACAGGUUUCUGGGUAAAUCGGAAAGAAAAUAAAAGCUGAAGAAAAAUGUCCAAAGGGAAAAUAUUCCUGUCUCACCUCUUCAUUUCUAUCAGAUGUUUCAGAUUUACAGAGAGCACUGACAAUAAUUGAAACUCUUGUGAGGUAGAAGUAUAUAAUGAAUAAUAUAAGUAUUUCAUACCUGACCUCCAUCCCAAAGUACCUGAUAAUAUUUUAUAUAUUUUGGAUCUAAGCCUACAAGACUUAGUGCUGCUGACUCAAUUUCUAUUUUACUGGUGUUCCACUCAAGCACAAAAAUCUGCCUGCAAACUUACAGGUAGAACUGACCUUGUGAAAUUGGGCUGCUACACAGAUCUGUACUUUCUCAUGCAAAAGAAUAUGAAACUCUUGCCAGACAUCUUCUGAGGCUUAACUCUCCUGGCUGGAAACCUUCCCGUUCCAAGGUGUUCACCACGGCCCUAGUUGGUUGUCAUUAUCCCCUCAUCUCUUCCUGGAGGGUAUUCAGGUAAACAUUCAUAUUUCUGUCUGGGUUAGUUUAACAUCCAUCCAUGCAUCCAUCCAUCCAUCCAUCCAUCCUCCUCUCGCCCCACCGAAGUAUAAAACAAACUACUUUAUAUGAAGUGACUACUACUCUGAGUCAGAGGGACAUAAGAAACAGGUAAGCAGAAAUAAUACCACAUCUCUUUGCGAACUGAAUAUUUGCCCAUCUCUACUAUACAAACAGUCUGCAACAGGUUUGAACAGGACUUCAGUUAUCUGCACUAUCCUAAAAUUAGUUUACGCCACAGUCUUUUCCUCUUGGUUGAGAAGCUGGCAUCCAGAACAGCUGAUUUAACAAAACUUUGUAGCAAUGUAUGCUAUUGAAAUGUUAAGCAUCUGAGGGCUGAGGAAAGCUUAUACUUACAAUUUUGGCAAUCAGCCACCCUUUCAAACUGAUCGAAGUUUACUCCUUUGCAGUAAAACACUAAUGAUUUUUAAACUAUGAAAUUAUAUCUAUGUCUUAGCUUACUGUUCCAAUUCUUCACUACAUCAGCAUCAGUUGCUGCUUUUGAUGUGAAACUUUGUGAUUUCGGUGGUGGUGGUGGUGAUUUGUUGUGUCUUUUCAGGUUUGUGUGUGGGAUUUUUGUUUUUCCAUUGUUGUUUUUUGGGGGCUUUGUUUGUGGGGUUUUUUUUUGGUUGUUUGUUUGUUUGUUUUGUGGUUUUGUUUUUGUUUUUCAUUCAGCUGGUCUCAUCCUGGAGUAGAAACCAGAGCUUAUUAGAGAACAUUCCAGGACAUUACAGAGCAGCAGAGUACAGGCCGCAAUUUGCUUUCACCUGGAGAGGCAUUCAGUACACAUGGAAUCGCUUGCCCCAGGGGUGGAAACACAGUCCUACCAUCUGCCAUGGACUGAUCCAGACCACGCUGGAGCAAGGUAAAGCUCCAGAACACUUGCAAUAUAUUGAUGACAUCAUCGUAUGGGGCGACACAGCGAAAGAAGUCUUCGAGAAAGGUGAGAGAAUAAUUCAGAUUCUUUUGGAUGCUGGUUUUGCCAUAAAACGAAGCAAGGUCAAGGGACCUGCACGAGAGAUCCAGUUUUUAGGAAUAAAAUGGCAAGAUGGCCGUCGUCAGAUCCCAAUGGAAGUGAUCAACAAAAUUGCAGCAAUGUCUCCACCUACUAAUAAAAAGGAGACACAGACUUUCUUAGGUGUUGUAGGUUUUUGGAGAAUGCAUAUUCCUGACUACAGCCAGAUUGUGAGCCCUCUCUAACGAGUGACUCGUAAAAAGAACCAAUUUGAGUGGGGCCCUGAACAACGACAAGCCUUUGAACAAAUUAAGCGUGAGAUAACUCAUGCGGUGGCCCUUGGACCAGUUCGGACUGGACUAGAUGUUAAAAAUGUGCUCUACACCGCAGCCAGAGAUAAUGGACUUACCUGGAGCCUCUGGCAGAAAGCACCAGGAGAAACCCGAGAUCGACCCUUAGGUUUUUGGAGUUGAGGAUACAAAGGAUCUGAGGCCAACUACACUCCAACUGAAAAAGAGAUACUAGCAGCAUACGAAGGAGUUCGAGCUGCUUCAGAAGUGAUCGGUACUGAAGCACAGCUCCUCCUGGCACCUCGACUGCCGGUGCUGAGCUGGAUGUUCAAAGGGACGGUUCCCUCUCCACAUCACGCAACCGAAGUUACGUGGAGUAAAUGGAUUGCAUUGAUCACGCAACGAGCUCGAAUUGGAAAUCCCAAUCGCCCAGGGAUCUUAGAAGUGAUUACAGACUGGCCAGAAAGCAAAGACUUUGGGAUGUCUCCAGAUGAGGAGGAAGUAAAACGUGCUGAAGAAGCACCACCAUAUAAUACUCUUUCAGAGACUGAUAAGCAGUAUGCACUGUUCACAGAUGGAUCCUGUCGUCUUGUAGGAAAACAUCGAAGGUGGAAAGCUGCUGUGUGGAGUCCCACACGACAAGUUACAGAAGCCACUGAAGGACAAGGUGAAACUAGUCAAUUUGCAGAAGUGAAAGCCAUCCAGCUGGCUUUGGACAUUGCUGAACGAGAGAAGUGGCCAAUACUUUAUCUCUAUACUGACUCAUGGAUGGUAGCAAAUGCCUUGUGGGGGUGGCUACAGCAAUGGAAGAAAAGCAACUGGCAGCGCAGAGGUAAACCCAUUUGGGCUGCCACACUGUGGCAAGACAUUGCUGCUCGGCUAGAGAGCCUGCCUGUGAAAGUUCGGCACGUAGAUGCUCAUGUGCCUAAAAGUCGAGCCACCGAGGAACAUCUAAACAACCAACAAGCAGAUCAAGCUGCUAAGAUUAAAGUAGCUGAGGUGGACUUGGACUGGCAACAUAAAGGUGAACUUUUCCUAGCUCGGUGGGCCCAUGAUGCUUCAGGGCAUCAAGGUAGAGAUGCAACGUAUAAAUGGGCUCGCGAUCGAGGGGUGGAUUUAACUAUGGACACUAUUUCACAGGUUAUUCAUGAAUGUGAGACUUGCGGCGAAAUCAAACAAGCGAAACGGUUAAAGCCUGUAUGGUAUGGGGGGUGAUGGUUAAAGUAUAAGUAUGGAGAAGCUUGGCAGAUUGAUUAUAUUACACUUCCACAAACACGUCAAGGUAAGCAUUAUGUACUUACAAUGGUGGAAGCAACCACUGGAUGGUUGGAAACAUAUGCCGUACCUCAUGCUACAGCCCGAAAUGCUAUCUUGGGCCUUGAAAAGCAAGUCCUUUGGCGACAUGGUACACCAGAAAGAAUUGAAUCAGACAAUGGUACUCAUUUCAAAAACAGUAUUAUAGACAAUUGGGCCAAAGAACAUGGUAUUGAGUGGGUAUAUCAUAUUCCAUAUCAUGCACCAGCCUCUGGGAAAAUUGAAAGGUACAAUGGUUUGCUAAAAACUACACUAAAGGCACUUGGUGGUGGAACCUUUAAAAACUGGGAUUCACAUUUAGCAAAAGCCACUUGGUUGGUCAACACCAGGGGAUCAACCAAUCGAGGCGGGCCUGCCCAAUCAGAAACUCUACGGACUGUAGAAGGAGAUAAAGUCCCUGUAGAACACAUGAAAAACAUGUUAGGAAAGGCAGUCUGGGUUACUCCUGCCUCAGGCAAAGGCAAGCCCAUUCGUGGGAUUGUUUUUGCCCAGGGACCUGGCAGCACUUGGUGGGUGAUGCUUAAGGAUGGAGAAGUUCGGUGUGUACCUCAAGGGGAUUUGAGUUUAGGUGAAAAUAUACAAUACUGAACUGCAUGAUGUGAAUUGCCAUGCUAACAGUGUUUAAUAAGUGUCUUCCAGAUCAAGACAGUGAUGAUGAAACCAGAGCUAGCUUCUUCGAGUGGCGCCUGACAACUUCUUCGAAGUUGAUGUCUUUAACCCACAAACAGUGGUCAUGAGAUGCACUUGUAUCAUUUUUCCUGCCCUGGGAGACUGUCGUGACAAAAUGAACUUAAUGAACUUUUUAAAGGAUGGUCCACUGAUUAAUUACUCCUGUGUAUAUAUGUACAUAUGAAUAUAUAUAUAUAGUAGUAGUGAUUAAUUAGAUUGUAUUGAUAGAUUGUAUUGAUAAGGUUUAAGCAUUCAGUGAAUGGCAUAUUAUAAGGGGUGGAAUGUCCUGGUUUUGCUAAAAACAAGUUUCUCUUUUAGUGAAUUUUGCCUGUCAGCUAAAGCCUUCAUAUUAACUGCAUUUUCCUGGAGAACCAGACACAUGUUUUGGUAAACCUAGCAAUUGAAUGCAAACUUAUUGAUAAGCACGGAUGGACAUCUCGCGAGAGGGGCGACGAGAAGCAAGUGACCAAGAAACUGACCAACUGUGUAUAACAUCCCAUUCACGUGAAUACUUCAUAUAAAGUGGGAGAUCACGAGGAUCUCGUCCCUUUUUGCCUUUUCCCUUCUGCUUAUGGCCGACAUUAGAAGAGGACCUUGCUAGUCGUCCCUGCAAACUGAGGCCUAGUGACAGACUGAAUCCAGCUCCGAUUGGCUGCAGAGUCUAAUCCAGGACUUCAGGUGCCAGCUCUGCAGUUGCUGAGACUUUCAAGAUUGGUUUUGUAUAUUUUGUAUUAUUUUCUCUAUUCUAAUUAGUAGCAUUAGUAAAACAUCUUUAAUUUUU